UGGGGAAUAUUGCGCAAUGGGAGGAACCCUGACGCAGCCAUGCCGCGUGAAUGAAGAAGGCCUUAGGGUUGUAAAGUUCUUUCGGUAUUGAGGAAGGUUGAUGUGUUAAUAGCACAUCAAAUUGACGUUAAAUACAGAAGAAGCACCGGCUAACUCCGUGCCAGCAGCCGCGGUAAUACGGAGGGUGCGAGCGUUAAUCGGAAUAACUGGGCGUAAAGGGCACGCAGGCGGUUAUUUAAGUGAGGUGUGAAAGCCCCGGGCUUAACCUGGGAAUUGCAUUUCAGACUGGGCAACUAGAGUACUUUAGGGAGGGGUAGAAUUCCACGUGUAGCGGUGAAAUGCGUAGAGAUGUGGAGGAAUACCGAAGGCGAAGGCAGCCCCUUGGGAAUGUACUGACGCUCAUGUGCGAAAGCGUGGGGAGCAAACAGGAUUAGAUACCCUGGUAGUCCACGCUGUAAACGCUGUCGAUUUGGGGGUUGGGGUUUAACUCUGGCGCCCGUAGCUAACGUGAUAAAUCGACCGCCUGGGGAGUACGGCCGCAAGGUUA
rnacentral:rRNA from 1 species